GAUCCCCAGAUGUUUUCAAACUACAGCUUCCAUGGUGCUUUGUCAUUCUAAAGGCAUGCAAAGCAUCAUGGGAGUUGUAGUUUGAGAACAUCUGGGG